rnacentral:tRNA from 1 species
GGGCGCUUAGCUCAGCGGGAGAGCACUGCCUUCACACGGCAGGGGUCACUGGUUCGAUCCCAGUAGCGCCCA